rnacentral:sRNA from 1 species
UAGUUUCUUGGCAAUGUGCACGAGGAGA